AGAGUUUGAUCAUGGCUCAGGACGAACGCUGGCGGCGUGCUUAACACAUGCAAGUCGAACGAGUCAGCAAUGACGAGUGGCGGACGGGUGAGUAACACGUAGGUAACCUGCCCUGCAGUGGGGGAUACCCAGUCGAAAGACUGGCUAAUACCGCAUUCGCUCGUUAGUUGAAAUACUGACGAGGAAAGAUUUAUCGCUGGAGGAGGGGCCUGGGUCCGAUUAGCUAGUUGGUGAGGUAAUGGCUCACCAAGGCGACGAUCGGUAGCUGGUCUGAGAGGACGAUCAGCCACACUGGAACUGAGACACGGUCCAGACUCCUACGGGAGGCAGCAGUGGGGAAUUUUCCGCAAUGGGCGAAAGCCUGACGGAGCAACGCCGCGUGGAUGAUGAAGCCUUUCGGGGCGUAAAAUCCUUUCAGCAGGGACGAACAAAAUGACGGUACCUGCAGAAGAAGCAUCGGCUAACUACGUGCCAGCAGCCGCGGUAAUACGUAGGAUGCGAGCGUUGUCCGGAAUUAUUGGGCGUAAAGAGAACGUAGGUGGUUUCUUAAGUUUGGGCUUAAAGACUGGGGCUUAACCCCAGGACUGGCUCGAAAACUGGGAGACUCGAGGAUGUCAGAGGAAAGUGGAAUUCCGAGUGUAGCGGUGAAAUGCGUAGAUAUUCGGAGGAACACCAGUGGCGAAAGCGACUUUCUGGGACAUUCCUGACACUGAGGUUCGAAAGCUCGGGGAGCAAACAGGAUUAGAUACCCUGGUAGUCCGAGCCGUAAACGAUGGACACUAGGUGUCGCGGGUAUCAACCCCUGCGGUGCCGUAGCUAACGCGUUAAGUGUCCCGCCUGGGGAGUACGGUCGCAAGACUGAAACUCAAAGGAAUUGACGG
rnacentral:rRNA from 1 species